GAUGAACGCUAGCUACAGGCUUAACACAUGCAAGUCGAGGGGAAACGACAUCGAAAGCUUGCUUUUGAUGGGCGUCGACCGGCGCACGGGUGAGUAACGCGUAUCCAACCUGCCCAUCACUUGGGGAUAACCUUGCGAAAGUAAGACUAAUACCCAAUGAUAUCUCUAGAAGACAUCUGAAAGAGAUUAAAGAUUUAUCGGUGAUGGAUGGGGAUGCGUCUGAUUAGCUUGUUGGCGGGGUAACGGCCCACCAAGGCAACGAUCAGUAGGGGUUCUGAGAGGAAGGUCCCCCACAUUGGAACUGAGACACGGUCCAAACUCCUACGGGAGGCAGCAGUGAGGAAUAUUGGACAAUGGGCGAGAGCCUGAACCAGCCAAGUAGCGUGCAGGAAGACGGCCCUAUGGGUUGUAAACUGCUUUUAUAAGGGAAUAAAGUGAGAGUCGUGACUCUUUUUGUAUGUACCUUAUGAAUAAGGACCGGCUAAUUCCGUG
rnacentral:rRNA from 1 species